rnacentral:miRNA from 1 species
UAGGGUGACCAGCUAUUUUGGUUUGCCUGAGACUGAGGGGUGUUCUGGGAUGCAGGACUUGUAGGGCUAAAACUAGGAAUGUC